GCAGCAGCCACGGGAAUACGAAGGGGGCUAGCGUUGUUCGGAUUUACUGGGCGUAAAGGGCGCGUAGGCGGACUGAUAAGUCAGGGGUGAAAUCCCAAGGCUCAACCUUGGAACUGCCUUUGAUACUGUUUGUCUUGAGUUCGAGAGAGGUAAGUGGAACUGCGAGUGUAGAGGUGAAAUUCGUAGAUAUUCGCAAGAACACCAGUGGCGAAGGCGGCUUACUGGCUCGAUACUGACGCUGAGGCGCGAAAGCGUGGGGAGCAAACAGGAUUAGAUACCCCUGUAGUCCCUGUCUCUUAUAC
rnacentral:rRNA from 1 species